rnacentral:lncRNA from 1 species
UUUUUUUUUUUGACAUUUUGCCGCUCUACAGAAUUUAAAUACCCUACACGUUAUUGAUCUGACUACGUAAAGAAGUUAUACAAAAAGUGGAAAAGACGUUCAAAAAUGAUAAAAAUCUGAUCUCCAAUCACCUCAAAAUAAAUACUUGAAAUUUUCGUACGCCCAAAAAUUGACAAACCCAAAACCUCCCAUUACAACGUUGAAGCAAGAUCCACUUACUUGACGAUUGAAAAAACCCAUCCCUGAUUCCUUCAUGCCAGCGUUUCAACGAGCACUGAAGGAAAACCCAGCAACAAAGUGGUGAAAAAUCGUUCGCUGAGUCCAUCUUGCCGACGAACGUUCGAUUGGAAAGUAAUAAUUGCAAUCGGAAAAACUGCGAAUGAUUUGGGAAAGGAAAACAACAAACGAUUGAGCCUACCCCCGCCUCUCAUAUUUGGCACUUGCUUCGAGUCCUCUACUGUCGACCACCAAUUGCAAUUCAAGUUCGCAAUUAUUAUCUCUUAGAAGUAGAUAUAUUAUUUUCUACUUGUUUAGUUGACUAACUUCUAGCAUAGAUUAGAGAAUCACACGCGCGAAGGAGUUGGGAUGACAAGCCUAUGUAUGAAAUUCACAUCAGUGAAUACAAUUUAGAGCUAUUGGAUUACGACAUUUUAUUUAAAUAAUAGAGAUUAGCAUCCUCCUUGUGUUCAAUUUAUUUUCUUCUUUUACAAUUUCAUUAGAACUUUAUAAUUUUCCAGCUCUAAG